UACGGGGGGGGUAAGCGUUGUUCGGAAUUACUGGGCGUAAAGGGCUCGUAGGCGGCCAACUAAGUCGGACGUGAAAUCCCUCAGCUUAACUGGGGAACUGCGUCUGAUACUGGAUGGCUUGGAUUUGGGAGAGGGAUGCGGAAUUCCAGGUGUAGCGGUGAAAUGCGUAGAUAUCUGGAGGAACACCGGUGGCGAAGGCGGCAUCCUGGACCAACAUUGACGCUGAGGCGCGAAAGCCAGGGGAGCAAACAGG
rnacentral:rRNA from 1 species